rnacentral:lncRNA from 1 species
UCUAUAAAUAGGUAAUUUUGCUGAUUUUUGCCUACUCUCUCAUUAUUACCCCAUCCCUAUUCACCCAAAACCCUAGAAAAUUCAAUAUGGAGCAAAAGAAGUCACAUUUAUUUUAUUGGAGCUGGAUUCGCCUCUUAUGUAGAUUAUUCAACUUGGAUGCUUAUUCAUCUCUCUUUGUUUCUUGUGAAGCAAGCUACAAUGAUGUGCAAC